AACACAGCAACCCGAGGAACUGCCUGAGGCAUCCACUUCCUGUUUCCACAGGGGCAGAACAGUUGUUUAAGGCUAUCUUUAAAUUGGUGGCUUAGAAAAUUAAAGUGGCAGAGAAGAUUCAGAAACUGUAUAAUCCUCAUCUGAAUAACUUUUGUAAAUGAAGCAAGAGAAAGCAGUCAUCUUGUUUCCUGAAGUUAAAGGUGUCUUCUGCAUACUUCUUGGGAUCCUUCAUGAUUGAUAAUGUGGCUCUAUUGUUUUUUCUUGACUGAGUCACCAGUGAAGAUUCUAUACUACAUCCUGCUGAGACUCAAGAGGAGUUCUUCUGCCAGUGAUUGAAUGGUGUCCAUUUAAUUAGGUCUUCCACCACGUGAGGACACCUGAUAUGGUGCCAUCUACGGGGAAUGAGCCUUCAUCAGAUACUAAACCUGCCAGCACGCUAAUCUUGGACUUUCAGUCUCCAGAAGUCUCAGAAAAUAAAUUUCUGUUCUUAUAAAUUACCCUGUGUGUGUGUGUGUGUGUGUGUGUCUGUGUGUGUGCAUGUUUUGUUACAGCAACACAAAUGGACUAAGACGCUUCCUGUGAUCUCUCUGGUCUUACAACUGAAUUACCCAUUCUCUGCCUAUUGGCCCCACCCAGUUCUCUAAGCCAGGCUGAUGUACCCAAGUGUCAUAUCUCUACCAGUCCAUACAUACAAAUCAAAUAUGAGCCUGCAUUCUGCAUUCCUGGCCAUCUCUCAGGAGGCAUAUCCCCUGCCCCUGCCAAUGUUUGGUUCUAACCUGCCUUCCUUCACUCUUGCUUCCUUGGAUCUCUGGUUUCCUGUCCCCAAAUUGAAUUCAAUUCAAUUCCAACUCUUCUUGCGUCUUCUCCAACAUGGGACUUUGUUUAUCUGUGAAUUCUUUGUACUAGCUCCAUUCUCUCCAUCCUGUAGCCUUCUGUUCAUAGCUCCAAUAAUACCACUCAUCUUGUCCAUUGUAUUUAUCUGUUUAGAGGGUUGGCAUUCUCCACUGACUGUUAGUUCCAUUAGGAUAUGGAACAGGUAUGAUAUAUCUCUGUACUUUCAAGGCCUAACACUCUGCCAGGCAUAU
rnacentral:lncRNA from 10 species